rnacentral:lncRNA from 1 species
GGCAGCACCCAUGUCUCUGAGGCCACCUGGGACACACAGGUGUGCAUUAAUUAACUGGGAGGGACACGGGGGUGCAUUAAUUAAUCAAUUCAGUGAUUAGACAGGAUCACCUUCCAUAAUAAAGUGGAAAAACUGUCUCAGUUUUUAGAGAAAACCAAAGUUACUGUAGGGUCACCCAAGAUGGCGGCCACAAUAACGCCCAUGUCUCUGAGGCCACCUGGGGACACAGGGCUGCAUUAAUUAAUUAAUUCAUCUGUUAAUGGGAUUAGCUGCUGGUGAUUAGGCAGUUUUAUCUGUUUCUGCCAUAUUAAACUGGGAAAAAACUUUCUCAGUUUUUAGAGAGAACCAAAGCUACUGCAGGGUCACCCAAGAUGGCGGCCGCAGCAGCGCCCAUGUCUCUGAGGCCACCUGGGAGGGACACAGGGGUGCAUUAAUUAAUUAAUUCAUCUGUUAAAGGGGUUAGCUGCUGGUGAUUAGGCAGUUUUAUCUGUUUCUUCCAUAAUAAAGUGAGAAAAUUUUCUGGUUCUGCAGAGAAAACCAAAGUUACCGUAGGGUCACCCAUGUUUAGGGUCAUCCGUGUUUAGAGUCACCCCAAUGUUAUUGUAGGGUGCCCUUCCACAAUCAAGUGUGAAAACUUCCUCUGUUUUUAUGGAGAAAAUCAACAGCCACCCAGUUUUACAUCUCCUGUGUCUCACUAUGGAAUAAAAUCCUCUAAAAUCUCACUUAAAAUCUCUUUUAAAACCUCAUUUAAAACCUCAUUUAAACCUCAUUUUAAACCUCAUUUAAACCUCUUUUAA